GUGGGCUGUGAAGAGGAUACAAAGAGGCUGCAAGAGGAUAUGGAUACGUGAAAGGACAAAGACACGGUGGAUGGAAAUGUUGUGGAAGUCCCUGAUGAGAUUGCAUCUGCAAUAUCGUGUACAGCUGUGGCGUCUCUACAUAAGGAACGACAUACUUGUGGCUGAGGAAGUGCAGUGAAGGUUCAUCGGAGUGAUUUCUGGGACAGCAAGUUUGAGGUGGUCAAUUAACCUACCGACCUGCGUACCUUCAGGAUGUGGGAAGAAACAAAAGCUCCUGCAGGAAGCUCAUGCGGUCACAGGGAGAACAUGCGAACUCCACACAGACAGCACCCAAGGUCAGGGUGACUGGAAGUGGGAAGCAGCAUCUUUACUAGCUGUGUCACUGUGCCGUCCUAGACUGUGGACUAUAAGGCUAGCAAAGGAUGCUGAGAGAAGAGGAGAAAAUUACCUGACAGGAAUGAAGAUA